rnacentral:rRNA from 1 species
UACGUAGGGGGCAAGCGUUGUCCGGAUUUAUUGGGCGUAAAGAGCGUGUAGGCGGCCAUACAGGUCAGCUGUGAAAACUCGAGGCUCAACCUCGAGACGUCGGUUGAAACCGUAUGGCUAGAGUCCGGAAGAGGAGAGUGGAAUUCCCGGUGUAGCGGUGAAAUGCGCAGAUAUCGGGAGGAACACCAAUGGCGAAGGCAGCUCGCUGGGACGGUACUGACGCUGAGACGCGAAAGCGUGGGGAGCAAACAGG